rnacentral:rRNA from 1 species
AUUGAACGCUGGCGGCAGGCCUAACACAUGCAAGUCGAACGAGUGGCGGACGGGUGAGUAAUGUCUGGGAAACUGCCUGAUGGAGGGGGAUAACUACUGGAAACGGUAGCUAAUACCGCAUACCAUCGGAGGUGCCCAGAUGGGAUUAGCUAGUAGGUGGGGUAAAGGCUCACCUAGGCGACGAUCCCUAGCUGGUCUGAGAGGAUGACCCGCCAAACUGGAACUUAGACACUGGUCAGUCUCCUACUGGAUGCAUCAGUGUGUAAUAUGUCACAAUGGGCGCAAGCCUGAUGCAGCCAUGCCGCGUGUAUGAAGAAGGCCUUCGGGUUUUAAAGUACUUUCAGCGUGGAGGCGUUACCCGCAGAAGAAGCACCGGCUAACUCCGUGCCAGCAGCCUCGGUAAUAC